rnacentral:rRNA from 1 species
CGUGUGGUUCUAUUUUGUUGGUUAUGGGACCGCCGUAAUGAUUAAUAGGGACAGUCGGGGGCAUCAGUAUUCAAUUGUCAGAGGUGAAAUUCUUGGAUUUAUUGAAGACUAACUACUGCGAAAGCAUUUGCCAAGGAUGUUUUCAUUAAUCAGGAACGAAAGUUAGGGGAUCGAAGACGAUCAGAUACCGUCGUAGUCUUAACCAUAAACUAUGCCGACUAGGGAUCGGGCGAUGUUACUUUUUGACUCGCUCGGCACCUUACGAGAAAUCAAAGUUUGUGGGUUCCUGGGGGAGUAUGGUGGCAACGCUGAAACUUAAAGAAAUUGACGGAAGGGCACCACCAGGGGUGGAGCCUGCGGCUUAAUUUGACUCAGCACGGGGAAACUCACCAGGUCCAGACACAAUGAGGAUUGACAGAUUGAGAGCUCUUUCUUGAUUUUGUGGGUGGUGGUGCAUGGCCGUUCUUAGUUGGUGGAGUGAUUUGUCUGCUUAAUUGCGAUAACAAACGAAACCUUAACCUGCUAAAUAGCCCGUGUUGCUUCUGCAGCACGCCGGCUUCUUAGAGGGACUAUCGGCUCAAGCCGAUGGAAGUUUGAGGCAAUAACAGGUCUGUGAUGCCCUUAGAUGUUCUGGGCCGCACGCGCGCGACACUGACAGGGUCAGCGAGUUCUCCCUUGUCCGAAAGGACCGGGUAAUCUUGUUAAACCCUGUCAUGC